UUCUACUAUAUCUCUUUUUUUUCUGUUUGAUACUUUACUUCCUCCAAACCAAUGUUCUAAGCCUCGUUCCAUAUUUAAUAAAUGUUCUUUACAUUGUGGAAAUUUACUUGAGAUUUUCCACUGAGAAACAUUAAAAUGCCAAAUUAUUGUUGCAAAUUUCCCAUCUAAUAACGAAGGCUUUGAUUGAAAAUGAUUCAAUUGAAAGGGACUUGAUAACUUAAAAACCUUAUUUUUGCAUUCUACCAUUCUGGGAGAGAAUACAUUUACCUUAACAUCACCACAUCUCUCAUGAUGAUUUCUUAACAUUAAACAACAUUGAUAGUUUCCACUAUCACUGUAGGUAGGAUUGUCUAAAUAGAAAACAAACAUUUCUUCCGACCAAUCCACCUUUCCUAGUACACCUCUGUGAAUAACCUUUGUCGUUGUAUGUGACAUACUACCAAAAAACAUUCCUUCCCUUUUCCAUGUCAUUACAGACUCAGGGGGUAAACUUAUAUGUGUACUACAUGUUAAUCUAAUUCUUUCCUUUCCUUCCUGGAUAUCUACAAGACUAGGCUUCAUUAUAAUAUCUCGCAUAACAUAAUCAGUUACCAGAAACAUCAUGUUAACUCUUACUGUCAACGAUUCCCUAGAUGCUCGUAUUUCCCAUAUCCAAGGUAUACCUGGAGUAUUGUUUUUUAAGAGGAAUUCUGGCUCUAAAUGUAUAAGCCAGUAUUGAAUUGUAUAAAGUACCUCACCACCUCGUCCUCGCGUUGUUACUGAAGUUUGUGCAACGUUCACAUACAUGUCACCUGACCAAUUUACCAUUUCCUCUCCAUUAACUACAAUCAUGAUAUAUGCAUUUUGUAAUAUGUUAAGUUCCCAUGAUCCCGUUUUUACAUUGUCUUGUACAAAUGAACCUUUGGUCCAACUAAAUAAAUCAUUACGACCUAUUGUAAUGUUUAAAUUAAUAACACUAUCUCCAGUGAAAUUAAUUCGCACAUUGCAUACUUGUAGAUAGCCAUCUUUUGUCCCGAAACAAACAUGACCUUUUAAUACUUGUUCAUUGUCUCUCUUUUUUCUAAUAUUUCCAAAUAAGUCAUUCUUUAAUUC